rnacentral:rRNA from 1 species
AUUGAACGCUGGCGGCAUGCUUUACACAUGCAAGUCGAACGGCAACGAGGAGAAGCUUGCUUCUCUGUCGGCGAGUGGCGAACGGGUGAGUAUAGCAUCGGAACGUGCCAAGUAGUGGGGGAUAACCAAACGAAAGUUUGGCUAAUACCGCGUAAGCUCUAAGGAGGAAAGUAGGGGACCUAAUAAGGCCUUACGCUAUUUGAUCGGCCGAUGUCGGAUUAGCUAGUUGGUGGGGUAAUGGCUCACCAAGGCAAUGAUCCGUAGCGGGUCUGAGAGGACGAUCCGCCACACUGGGACUGAGACACGGCCCAGACUCCUACGGGAGGCCGCAGUUGGGAAUUUUGGACAAUGGGGGAAACCCUGAUCCAGCCAUGCCGCGUGUAUGAAGAAGGCCUUAGGGUUGUAAAGUUCUUUUGUUAGGGAAGAAAAGCUAGUUUUUAAUAAAAAUUAGUGAUGACGGUACCUAAAGAAUAAGCACCGGCUAACUACGUG